UACGUAGGUGGCAAGCGUUAUCCGGAUUUAUUGGGCGUAAAGAGCUCGUAGGCGGUUUGGUAAGUCGGGUGUGAAAACUCUGGGCUCAACCCAGAGAGGCCACUCGAUACUGCUAUGACUAGAGUACGGUAGGGGAGCGGGGAAUUCAUGGUGUAGCGGUGAAAUGCGCAGAUAUCAUGAGGAACACCAGCGGCGAAGGCGCCGCUCUGGGCCGUAACUGACGCUGAGGAGCGAAAGCAUGGGUAGCAAACAGG
rnacentral:rRNA from 1 species